GGGAAGGUACACGUUUUUCGUUUCCCUCCCCAUGCUGUUGAGUUUUUGCUAAUGAUGAUAAUGCUAGUAUGCUACCUAAUGGUUAUGUAACGAGACGCUGCGUCAAAAAGUCUCUAUUCAGUCAAGAUUUCUGUUCAUUUUGUUAAACAUGCUAGGUUUGAGUGUUAAUCUUUUACUGCGUUUGGCCAAAAAGAAUAGACUUCUUUGAAGGCAAUCAAUCAUGCAUUGCAGUUGAAUGCAUAAGUAUACUAUUGUUAUUUGAGUAGGCAUUCCAGUAAUUAUUCAAUUUUUGUCCAAUAAGUUAUUGGAUUUCAACAAGGUAAUAAAUAACCUGCCUUUUCUGCAGCUUUGGCCAACUCAACAGUAUGAAUUAACAAUCCACAAAGUAAGCAUUACUGUUACACUAUUUUAACAUUGAAAUUAAUUAGCUAUGUGUAUGUUACAUAGCUAGUUUUGUUCUGGGAAGAAGUUUGUCUUUGUUAACCACAAAUCCUCCAUUCUUUUCAAACCAUAAAGUUAUUAGCACUUGCAGUUUGGUUCAAGAUCAUGUUAAAGCUGUUAACAUCAAGCAGAGGCCUUGUGAUUCAAUCAAAUUAAGUUAUUACUUCUGAAUGGGAAUAAGUGAUUCUUCACUUUUCAUUUGCAAUUUUCUCCGUCUUCCAAGUUGCUAAUAGAAACUGACAACAAAACAAGUGGUCAAUGCUAUUUCUUGACCACCAUCUGUACCUGUAGCUUGAAUUGCAGUUGAUGAGUUGAUACAUUUUUUUUUGUUUCUCACUUCUUUACCUGUCUUGUGGAAUGUUUAGAUUGUCUAAAUAAUAGCUAUGAAAAAAGAACAGAAUAGUCUGAACAUUUUGCAUUUACCACCUCGCUUUGACAUCAAGUUCUCCGAUUCAAACAAUGAGAAUUACGAUGUUAAUUAACUAGGGCUCUGUUUUUCAAAAAGGCCGAAA